rnacentral:lncRNA from 1 species
GGUGAAGAAUACUGUAUUCUACAGUUGAGGGUGAUUUAUUCUAUAGCAAAGAAUAAAGAGAAAGGCUGCAGUUCAAGCAUUGAGAUCACGGUCAAAGAUCAAGAGUUGAUCAAAGAUCCAAAAGGCUGAGAUUCAUCUUGGAGAAGAUGGAUCUAUAACGAGAGGAAAGAUUCAAGAUUGAUCUCGAUGGACACCUAUAGAGGUCGGACACGUGUA